rnacentral:rRNA from 1 species
UACGUAGGGUGCGAGCGUUAAUCGGAAUUACUGGGCGUAAAGCGUGCGCAGGCGGUUUUGUAAGCCAGAUGUGAAAUCCCCGGGCUCAACCUGGGAAUGGCAUUUGGGACUGCAAGGCUCGAGUUUGGCAGAGGAGACUGGAAUUCCUGGUGUAGCAGUGAAAUGCGUAGAUAUCGGGAGGAACACCAGUGGCGAAGGCGACUUCCUGGCCUGUUCUUGACGCUGAGGCGCGAAAGCUAGGGGAGCAAACGGG